ACUGAAUAGAUACCCGGGUAGUCCAUGCUGUAAACGAUGUCAACUAGCCGUUGGGGCCCUUGAGGCUUUAAGUGGCGCAGCUAACGCGAUAAGUUGACCGCCUGGGGAGUACGGCCGCAAGGUUAAAACUCAAAUGAAUUGACGGGGGCCCGCACAAGCGGUGGAGUAUGUGGUUUAAAUUCGAUGCAACGCGAAGAACCUUACCUGGCCUUGACAUAUCCGGAACCCUGCAGAGAUGCGGGGGUUGCCUUCGGGAAUCGGAAUACAGGUGCUGCAUGGCUGUCGUCAGCUCGUGUCGUGAGAUGUUGGGUUAAGUCCCGCAACGAGCGCAACCCUUAUCCUUAGUUGCCAGCGCGUAAAGGCGGGAACUCUAGGGAGACUGCCGGUGACAAACCGGAGGAAGGCGGGGUACGACGUCAAGUCAUCAUGGCCCGUUACGGCCAGGGCUACACACGUACUACAAUGGUCGGUACAAAGGGUUGCUAAGCCGCGAGGCCACGCCAAUCUCAAAAACGCCGAUCGUAGUCCAGAUUGGAGUCUGCAACUCGACUCC
rnacentral:rRNA from 1 species